UACGGAGGGGGCGAGCGUUAUUCGGAAUUAUUGGGCGUAAAGGGCGCGUAGGCGGCUGAACAAGUCAAAGGUGAAAUCCCUCGGCUCAACUGAGGAACUGCCUUUGAAACUGUUCGGCUUGAGGCCGGGAGGGGGUAGCGGAAUUCCCAGUGUAGCGGUGAAAUGCGUAGAUAUUGGGAGGAACACCAACGGCGAAGGCAAUGUCCUGGCUCGUAUCUGACGCUCAAGCACGAAAGCUAGGGGAGCGAACAGG
rnacentral:rRNA from 1 species